CCCCCAAAUUUUUUUUUCUCCUUUUUUAACCAGGUUUUCCUCAGGAAAAAACUGGUUAUUAGAUUGGCGAAUGCGGGCGGGCUGGCUGGCUGGCUGGCGGGCUGGCUGGCUGGCGGGCUGGCGGAAUAAGCUUGUCCGGGCCAUAACUAUGUCGUUCAUUGUCAGAAUUUAAAAUCAUUUGGCACAUUUGUUCACCAUCAUUGGACGGUGUGUCGCGCGAAAUAAUUACGUCGAUAUCUCCAAGGUCAAGGUCACACUUUGAGUUCAAAGGUCAAAAAUGGCCAUAAAUGAGCUUGUCCUGGCCAUAACUAUGUCAUUCAUUGUGAGAUUUUAAAAUCAUUUGGCACAUUUGUUCACCAUCAUGGGACGGUGUGUCCCACGAAAGAAUCACGUCAAUAUCUCCAAUGUCAAGGUCGCCACGACUAAAAAUAGAUUUAAAAAAAAAAAAAAUUACAAAGGGGGUUAAUUUUUUUUGGUCAUUUCAAAAGUUCAGUUUGAGUUUUCUCCCUUUAUCAGAUUUUUUUUUCACAAUGAAAACCUGGUUUUGUGACAAUUUUGUCCCUUGUUUAUUUUUGAAAUAAUAAUAAAUGACCACACCCCACAUUUUACCCCCUCUCAACCCCCCCCCCCCCCCCCAAAAAAAAAAUAAAAAAAAAUUUCCUUUUUUAUUUUUGAAAGAUCGUCUAAUAAAUUAUUGAAUAUGAACAAUUUCCCCAUGAUGGCUUACGUUAUAAUGUCAAGCACUCGAAUAGUUGAGCGCGCUGUCCUCUGACAGCUCUUGUUUAUGUCCCCCACCACUCCACCACUAUAUUCGGAGACAUAUUGUUUUUGCCCUUUCUGUUGGUUGGUUUGUUUGCCCAAACUUUAACAUUUUGCAAUAACUUUUGCUAUAUUGAAGAUAGCAACUUCAUAUUUGGCAUGCAUGUGUAUCUCAUGGAGCUGCACAUUUUGAGUGGUGAAAGGUCAAGGUCAUCCUUCAAGGUCAAAGGUCAAAAAAACUUAAUCAAAGCGGCGCAGAAGGGGACAUAGUGUUUUACAUCUCUUGUUUCGUUAUGUGAACACUGCAGGUAUUUGAAACAGCUUUUAUGUGCUUUGUGAAUAUAAAUGUGUUAUGUUUUGUUAGGCAUACAUGAAUUUUUGUGAACAAGAAAGCGUGUAGCAUGUUAAUAGUCAUUCAAAAAGACGGUUUACGACAACAGAUUUAUGUAAGCAAACACAAGUGAUAACCUGACAUGUAACAAGAUAUUAUGUCUAAAUAAAUUUGAAUAAAUUAUAUUAAAAUAAUGUACAUCUUAAAUAAAUUGAUAAUCAAC